UGCAAGCAAUAUCAAGAAGAUGAAAAGUUUGUAGUUCAUAAAUCAAAGAUUUUUUUCAGUAAUAGCUAUCGACUGUGCGCAUAAACAAAACAAAUGUGUUGUUAAGUCAGAUGGAGGCACUGUUAACAGAAAAUCCAUUAGCCCUGCGAAGAUGAUCCAUGAUAGCUUGACCAGAAAUGGCAAGACUGGCUAAAGAGUUUAAGAAGAGGGACGAAAUAUACCAGAGGGACAGUCAAAGAUCGAUUUCUUGAUGAAGAGGACAUAACUCCUCAUGAGUGUUCAGUACUUAUUAAAGAUAUAGCUUCCUCAGCAAUUGUUGAUACUAUUCGUCGUUCGUUGAAUAACAAUAGUUGGACAAUACCAGUAUGAAAAGUUUAUC
rnacentral:lncRNA from 1 species